rnacentral:rRNA from 1 species
CCUACGGGAGGCUGCAGUGGGGAAUAUUGGACAAUGGGGGGAACCCUGAUCCAGCGACGCCGCGUGAGUGAAGAAGUAUUUCGGUAUGUAAAGCUCUAUCAGCAGGGAAGAAAGAAAUGACGGUACCUGACUAAGAAGCCCCGGCUAACUACGUGCCAGCAGCCGCGGUAAUACGUAGGGGGCAAGCGUUAUCCGGAUUUACUGGGUGUAAAGGGAGCGUAGACGGCGAUGCAAGUCUGAAGUGAAAGGCGGGGGCCCAACCCCCGGACUGCUUUGGAAACUGUAUGGCUGGAGUGCGGGAGGGGCAGGCGGAAUUCCUGGUGUAGCGGUGAAAUGCGUAGAUAUCAGGAGGAACACCGGCGGCGAAGGCGGCCUGCUGGACUGCGACUGACGUUGAGGCUCGAAAGCGUGGGGAGCGAACAGGAUUAGAUACCCUAGUAGUC